UCAGGGAAUCCCAGUCACUGAGUGUGCUCAGGGAAUCCCAGUCACUGAGUGUGCUCAGGGAUUCCCAGUCACUGAGUGUGCUCAGGGAAUCCCGGAAUUCUCAGUCACCGAGGGCGCUCAGGGAUUCCCAUGGGGCUCUCCAAGGAUUCCCAGUCAUUGAGUGUCCCCAGGGAUUCCUGGGAUUCCCAGUCACUCAGUGUCCUCAGGGAUUCUGGGGAUUCCCAGUCACUGAGUGUCCUCAGGGAUUCCCAGUCACUGAGUGUCCUCAGGGAUUCCUGGGAUUCCUGUGUCCCCAGGAAUUUUGGGGAUUCUCAGUCACUGAGUAUCCCUGAGGGAUUCCUGUGGUGCUCCCCAGGGAUUCCCAGGAUUCCCGCUCACUCAGUGUCCCUGUGAUUCCCAGGAUUCCCGCUCACUCAGUGUCCUCAGGGAUUCCCAGGAUUCCCGCUCACUCAGUGCCCCCUUCCUUCCCUUAAACAACAACAACAAAAAAAAAGAAUUUAUAGAGACUUUUAUAUUAAUAUAUAUAUAUUUAAUAACUUUAUUUGGCAGCAGUGAAACCGCAAACUGCUUUUUCUGGGAAAUAAGAUGGAACCUGGAGUUUACUCCUCGCUGGUGGUUCAGCUUCUCCAACCUAAGCUGGUUGCUUGAAAUACAUUUUGGGUGGUUUAUUUUUUAUUUUUAUUUUUUUAAAUUUUUUUUAUUUUUACAGCAAAGAAACAAAAAUCUCCUGGCACAGAAGUGAAUUUUUAUAUCGAUAUAAAAUAGUUGGAUAAUGUUUAUCCUUUAUUUUUCUACAGCUGGCUGGGGUUUGAAAAGCUUUUAAAGCUGUGUGCAAAGGCCUUCAAAAAGGGCUCAGCUCUUCCCUCCUGUGUAAGGACGACCCAAAAAUCAUUGAUUUUCUGGCCAGAUUGGCUUUAAUUACUGGGCAAUUAAAGCCUGGCUCCUCCUCUGGCUCUCCAGGUCCUCGGAAUUCCCGUGAGGACAUGAGGAAUGGGGAUGUGACUUUUGGGAAAACUCAAAAUGGGGGGAAAUUCCGUUUUGUUCUGCUCCCGGAGAUGUGGAUUUUUAGGGGAUGUGAUUUUGCAGUUUCUCCUUGCUGAAGCUGCCGUGGGCUCUGAGGCUGCACAGCCUUCAUCCUCCCAUAGUUUAUUCCCCCUUUUUCCUCCCUGAGGGCCUGAUCCCAUUCCAGGACCUCUCCUGCGAUCUCAGGGUGUGCCUGGAGCUGCUCUGCUCCCAGGAAAAGGAGAUUCUGGAGCUGCUGUUGUUUAUAAAGUCCCUGGCAGCUCCAGAGCAGCCCAAAAUCCUUGGGAAAAUCCCAGGGCAGAUCCAAAGGCACCUCCCAGCCCGGGCUUGGCAAGAAUCUGCUGCUCAUCCCUGUCCAGGAGGGACAAAAAUCCCACCUGGAGGGGGAAAUCCUGACCUGGAGGGGGAAAUCCUGACCUGGAGGGGUAAAAUCCCAACCUGGAGGAGGAAAUCCUGACCUGGAGAGGGAAAUCCUGACCUGGAGGGGUAAAAUCCCAACCUGGAGGAGGAAAUCCUGACCUGGAGAAGCUCCUCAUUCCCUGAGUUUGGUUUUCCUGCUUGGAAUGCAAAGUGGGAAGAGUGGAAGCCUCCCUGCAUGCCCUGCUCCAGUUGGGAAUGGCUUUUCCAAAGCAAAUCCCAUCCUUUAGCCACUCCUUUGGGAGAUCAGGAGGGAAUUUUGGGAUCCUGGAUGUGCAAAUUCCAGUCCCGUUUGAAUCCAGGGAUAAAUUCCAUCCUUCCCAAAGCAAAUCUCAUCCUUUAGCCACUCCUUUGGGAGAUCAGGAGGGAAUUUUGGGAUCCUGGAUGUGCAAAUUCCAGUCCCAUUUGAAUCCAGGGAUAAAUUCCAUCCUUCCCAAAGCAAAUCCCAUCCUUCAGCCACUCCUUAGGGAGAUCAGCAGCCAAGGAGGGAUUUUUGGGAUCCCGUUCCAGGAUCCUUGCGAUGUUCCUAUUGUCACCUCCCUGCUGGGCAUCCCAGGGUGUCCCUUGGGAUCUCUGGAGCUGUCCCAUCCUUUUCCCACAAUUUUUGGAGCAGGAAAAUCCAGGAUCCCCUCUGGGGGGUGCCACAUGUGCCUUGUGGGAACGAUGCCAGUGGGAAAAGAGCUUUUUCCUGACUUUUUUUGUGUCUUAAUCUGAAGUAAUCCCUGUGCCUUAAAGCAGGAAAAACCCGCUGGAUUCUCCUGGAUUUGAUGGGAUUGGAGGUCUCAGAGCUGGGAAUUUUUCUCCUUGAAUAACUGGAGAGUCGCUCCCAGAGCCAGAACUGCUCUGGGAAAAUUCCCAUGGAGAUGGAAUUUUGGGAAUGUGAUGCUGAAGAGACAAAAUGUGGGAUAAUUGGAGUGAUUCCAGCUCCAUCCUCCUCUUCCUCUGAAUUCUCCUCGGAUAUUUCUGCCUUGGGAGAACCUCAGCUCCUCCUUGGAGUAACCUGGGAGUAGGGACAUACAAAAAUCCUGGAUAGGGGAUGUUGGGAAUUUGUUUGGGAAUCCUGGGAGAGGGGGAGAUCCCUGGGAACCUCCUGAGGGAUGGGAACAAAAAUGAUCAGCUGAGAUCUGUUGGGAAUUUGCUCCUCAGGCUAGGAGUGGGAAAAUCCAUUCUAAGAGGAGGGAAAUCCUUCUGGGAGAAGGAAAAUCUGCUUGGAUCACCCUGGAUAUCCAACAAAACCAGCCCAAUCCUCGUAAUUCCAGAGGUCUCACCCGCAGCAGGAAUAUUUCCAAUUUUCCAACUGCUCCUGCUGGCUCUGCAGGGAAAAUCCCUUCCCAAAUCCCCUUCCCCAUCCCAAAAUUUCCUGCCAAGUUUGCCUUUGGAAGCUGUGCUGCAAUUCUGAGCUGAAAUGCCUGAUUUUAGCCCUGUCUGUGACCUCAAAUCCCUGAUUUUAGCCCAGUCUAUGAUCCCAAAUCCCUGAUUUUAGCCCAGUCUCUGCCCCAAUUCUGCCGCUUCAUCCACCUCAAACGCACAGAAUUCUUUAAGGGAGGAUGAGGAACUUUUCCAAUUCUUCAUCUCAUGUUUCCCUUUGGAAUUUUUGCCUCGGCAAAAAUAAAAUUAAAAAAACCCACAGCAACAACAAAAACAAAGUGUUUUCAUCGCUGUUUCCUAGUGCAAGACCUGGGUGGGAAAUGCUGCUGCACUUGUGCCACUGGAGCUCCAGGAAAUAAAAAUAUCCUGAUUUUUUGGGGUCCUUUUUUUU